rnacentral:rRNA from 1 species
ACGGGGUGCAGCAGGCGCGAAAACUUUGCAAUGUGCGAAAGCACGACAAGGUUAAUCCGAGUGGUUUCUGCUAAAGGAACCUUUUGACAGUCCUAGAAACACUGUUGAAUAAGGGGUGGGCAAGUUCUGGUGUCAGCCGCCGCGGUAAAACCAGCACCUCAAGUGGUCAGGAUGAUUAUUGGGCCUAAAGCAUCCGUAGCCGGCUCAGUAAGUUUUCGGUUAAAUCUGUACGCUCAACGUACAGGCUGCCGGGAAUACUGCAGAGCUAGGGAGUGGGAGAGGUAGACGGUACUCGGGAGGAAGUGGUAAAAUGCUUUGAUCUUUCGAUGACCACCUGUGGCGAAGGCGGUCUACCAGAACACGUCCGACGGUGAGGGAUGAAAGCUGGGGGAGCAAACCGGAUUAGAUACCCGGGCAGUCCCAGCUGUAAACUAUGCAAACUCAGUGAUGCAUUGGCUUGUGGCCAAUGCAGUGUUGCAGGGAAGCCGUUAAGUUUGCCGCCUGGGAAGUACGUACGCAAGUAUGAAACUUAAAGGAAUUGGCGGGGGAGCACCACAAGGGGUGAAGCCUGCGGUUCAAUUGGAGUCAACGCCAGAAAUCUUACCCGGAGAGACAGCAGAAUGAAGGUCAAGCUGAAGACUUUACCAGACAAGCUGAGAGGUGGUGCAUGGCCGUCGCCAGCUCGUGCCGUGAGAUGUCCUGUUAAGUCAGGUAACGAGCGAGAUCCCUGCCUCUAGUUGCCACCAUUACUCUCA